UACUCAGUAUGUGCCCCCACCCCGGCUAUCCUGGAACUCACUCUGUAGACCAGGCUGGAGUCGAAUUCAGAAAUUCUGCCUGCCUCUGCCUCCCGAGUGCUGGGAUUAAAGGCGUGCGGUGACUCCUUCUUACUGUAGGCAUCUGGCUUCUCUCUGAACUUUUCCUCAUCUCUAAAGCACUGUUAGGAGUGAAGUGUGGCCACGUGUGGUGGCUCACGCCACAUGGCACAUCCAGCACUGAAGAGACAAAAGCAGUCAGAUCUGUAGUUUGAGACCAGCCUGUUUCUUGUUUCUACAUAGUGAGUUGCAGGUCAGCUAGGGUUAUAUAUUGAGACCCUUCCUCAGGCAAGAGAAGGAGGGAGGGAGGGAGGGAGAGAAGAGACAAGAUGUGGGUGUGCUUGAUCAAUCUGUUUCGGGGGGGGGUAUCCUGUAACUAGUUUACUCUGUAAGAGAAGGGGUGCAGCCCCCAUGGAAUAGAAGGAGCUGGCCAUGAACGUCUCUCCAUGUAGACCUUUCUGUCUCUCCUCCUCACCAGGAGCAACAACAGCUUGAAUAGCUUUGUACACAGUCAGGCAGAUCAGAAAUCCUUGGGUAGGGACCUCCAAGGACAUAAAUGCUAUUAACAAGUUCAUAACACUAAGUACCAGGAAUGGAGCCCUGUAAUGAGCCAGAGGGAGGAGAAAGUUUCUUCAGCUUUCCUCUUAGGAUUUCCUGGCGCACCUCAAGUUCUGCAGUGGACUAAGAUAGCUGGAGACCUCAGCUUUCUCCAGUCUCUGGGUUCUUGGGAUAUGACAAGGGUGGGGAGCAGAGAUGUGCCAAGGCCCAGGGCCAGAUCUCUCCUUGGAGGGUGGGGUGGAAGACCAGCUUGUCUUGGCAGAUCUCUAUAUCCCCACUGUUGAUUCACCAUCCCUCCCUUGGUAUCUGCCAUCUCUUGUGCUCUUCUCAAUGCUGACACCUCAGGGUGUUCAACCUCAAACUCCUGAAGAAACUGGAGCUGUCUGGGUCAGUUUGUUGUCAUUUGAUCUGAAAGAACCUAUUUGGCAAGCUCUCCUACUUGCAUCUUCCCGGAAGCCAGAGUCCAGUGAAAACUGGUCCAGCUGCAGCUAGGGCAGGUGUCAUGGACAAGUCUCAGAUGGCACACAUCUGUCCUUCUCAUUGUGUGAGUGUCUCCAGCUCUCAGUCUGCUGGGGACAGCCAACCUACAACUGGAACAGGUUUGGUUUGGUGCUCUGGGAUGGUCCUUGCCCUUUGAAAGAACCAAAAGACAGGCUUGGAGGGACCUGGCGAGAUAGCUCAGCAGUUAAGAGCACAUGUUACUCUUGUAGCGGACCUGGGUUCAAUUCCCAGCACUUACGCGGUGGCUCACAAUCAUCUGCAACUCUAGUUCCAGGGUAUUUGCCCACUUCUGACCUUCACAGACACCAGAUAGACCAGAUGGAGAGCAUCGGUGCAGGCUCAUAAAAUUAAAUAUAUAAAUCUAAAUGGGGGAAAACAAAGACUGCCCUGGCCCCCAGAGACACAGCAAAUCAGUGCCAAGCAUCCCUUUAUGGAAGAGUUAAGGCAACAUAGUUCCUGUAUGCAGCAGCUUCAAGCCUUCAGCCCUGCCAUGAGUCUCUUUGAAAUGUUGGUGAAGGUCAUGAAUAUUCACUCAGAAAAAUGUUUGUACAUUAUGGAAUAAAGUGCAUAAGAACACAAG
rnacentral:lncRNA from 1 species